rnacentral:rRNA from 1 species
UACGUAGGGUGCAAGCGUUAAUCGGAAUUACUGGGCGUAAAGCGUGCGCAGGCGGUUGUGCAAGACCGAUGUGAAAUCCCCGGGCUUAACCUGGGAAUGGCAUUGGUGACUGCACGGCUAGAGUGUGUCAGAGGGGGGUAGAAUUCCACGUGUAGCAGUGAAAUGCGUAGAGAUGUGGAGGAAUACCGGUGGCGAAGGCGGCAUCCUGGACCGAUAUUGACACUGAUGAGCGAAAGCUAGGGGAGCAAACGGG